rnacentral:misc_RNA from 1 species
AUGAAUUCAGAAAACUUCUUUGUCCACAAACUACAAAGAGAAUAACAUAGAGGUUUCUUAUGUAGACUUUAGAGAAAUUAAAAAGCUGUACACUCCUACAAUAGCAAACACCCUUUAGGCAAAGUGAUCUCAUGCACGCUAGAUGCUACCUCGGGUAAACUUAGCAAAUCUCCCUUCCUCUUUCUUGCUAUGGCUUCAAACAAAGCCACUGAUAUCGACCUCCUUCCAGUGGCACAUCCUUCGCUAUAUCGUAGUUGUACUUCUCUGCGAAUCGUUUUUGCUCCUCCUUCUCUGCUGCCGCAAAGAACUCAUCGAUCUCCGCCUGAGUCGGCAUCUCAGUCUUUACAACCGGAAAAUUUUUCCGGCAAGUCUUUCCUUCAACCGCCGCCUUUGGGUCCAUGUCGCCGCUGUCUACGUAAAACUCGCUUGAAGGAGUGGUCUCUCUGCUGAAUUUGUUGUCAAUGCAAUUUGAGCUUUCGGUUUCAAAACUCUUGGCCUCCAGAUCCGCAAAUCUCAAGUCAUCCUUCACCACCAAGCUGGAUUCACUGUUCGAGCAACGAGAAGAUGUAGAGUCGCCGGUGCAUAAAUCGUCGGCGAGGAAAACGCCGAUGCCGGACGAAUUCUCCGGUGAAAUGGUCUUAUCCGGGGAUAAGGUAAAGAAACGGUGGUCUUGAAGCUCAAAACUCAGUGAAGGUAAACUCAAUUCUUGAAAACUAAAAUCGAAAUCAAUUUUCAUUUUCUUUGAGAAGCUUGUGGUCGAAGAUUCAAUGGCUUCAAUUCCUUCAUCUCUGCGCUUACAAUUCCAUGCAAAAUCCUC